UUCGGACGGGCCCCGCACAAGCAGCGGAGCGUGUGGUUUAAUUCGAUGUUACACGAAGAACCUUACCAGGGUUUGACAUGCAAGUGGUAGGAAGCCGAAAGGUGACCGACCCUUCGGGGAGCUUGCACAGGUGCUGCAUGGCUGUCGUCAGCUCGUGUCGUGAGAUGUUCGGUUAAGUCCGCUAACGAGCGCAACCCUCGCUGUGUGUUAUAUGUGUCACACGGGACUGCCGGUCUUAGGCCGGAGGAAGGUGGGGAUGAUGUCAAGUCAGCAUGGCCUUUAUAUCCUGGGCUACACACACGCUACAAUGGCCAACACAAUAGGUUGCUAAGCCGCGAGGUGGCGCCAAUCCAUAAAGUUGGUCUCAGUUCAGAUUGUAGGCUGCAACCCGCCUGCAUGAAGAUGGAGUUGCUAGUAACCGCAGGUCAGCUAUACUGCGGUGAAUACGUUCCCGGGGCUU
rnacentral:rRNA from 1 species